rnacentral:rRNA from 1 species
UGAGGGAAUAUUUGGGUCAAUGGGCGGAAGCCUGAACCAGCCAUGCCGCGUGCGGGAAGGAGGCCCUAUGGGCUGUGAACCGCUUUUGCCUGGGGGCAAUAAGGGCGUCGCGCACGUCCGAUGAGAGUACCAGGGGAAUAAGCAUCGGCUAACUCCGUGCCAGCAGCCGCGGUAAUACGGGGGAUGCGAGCGUUAUCCGGAUUCAUUGGGUUUAAAGGGUGCGUAGGCUGUGCGUCAAGUCAGGGGUGAAAUUCCGGGGCUCAACUCCGGGGCUGCCCUUGAUACUGUCGCGCUGGAGUGCGGAUGCCGCCGGAGGAAUGAGUGGUGUAGCGGUGAAAUGCUUAGAUAUCACUCAGAACACCGAUUGACGAAGGC